GCCAGCGUAGCGCAAUGGUAGAGCGUCAGGUUUUUGCCUUUCGGAAAUUUUCGAAUUGUUAUGCAACCUGAAUGUUGCGGUCGACCCCCGCCGUUGGCU
rnacentral:tRNA from 1 species